rnacentral:misc_RNA from 1 species
AAGUCGUAACAAGGUUUCCGUAGGUGAACCUGCGGAAGGAUCAUUAUUGUGGGGACCUCGGUCCUUCCAAGAUGCAACCCUUGCCUUUUUCAAGCGUCUCUCUGUUUCCUCGGCAGCUGCGCCUGCCAGCGAGGACCUUUAAAAACCUUUUUGCAAUCCCAGUACAAACUUCUGAAAACACAAAAAAAAAACGUUAAAACUUUCAACAAUGGAUCUCUUGGCUCUG